AGGGGCGUAGCGCAGCCUGGUAGCGUACUCGGUUCGGAACCGAGUUGUCGCGGGUUGCGCACUGCAAGGGUUCAAAUCCCGCCGUCCCGACCA
rnacentral:tRNA from 1 species